UCGGGCUUAUUAUAACCGGCUAUGAUUUACUUGAUCUUGACACAAUCCUACUUGGAUAACUGUGGUAAUUCUAGAGCUAAUACAUGCAUUAAAGCUCUGACCUCACGGGAAGAGUGCAUUUAUUAGAACAAAACCAAGCGGCUUCGGCUGUUUCUGGUUGACUCAUAGUAACUGAGCUGAUCGCAUGGUCUUGCACCGGCGACGUGUCUUUCAAGUAUCUGCCGUAUCAACUUUCGAUGGUAGUGUAUCUGACUACCAUGGUGAUCACGCGUAACGGAGAAUAAGGGUUCGGCUCCGGAGAGUUCGCCUGAGAAAUCGCGAACACAUCUAAGGAAGGCAGCAGGCGCGAAAAUUACCCACUCUCAGCACGAGGAGGUAGUGACGAAAAAUAACGAGACCGUUCUCUUAUGAGGCCGGUCAUCGGAAUGGGUACAAUUUAAACCCUUUAACGAGUAUCUAUGAGAGGGCAAGUCUGGUGCCAG
rnacentral:rRNA from 1 species